AAAGGCGAAAAGAACCCCGGCGAGGGGAGUGAAAAAGAACCUGAAACCGUGUACGUACAAGCAGUGGGAGCCCCACCACUAAGCCAGUGGUGAACUCCACAUACGCAUCCUUUGCUGAGGAUACGGUUAACGGAGCGAAAGCGACGUUCAACCUCAAAAGAAGCAGAGGGGGCUUAGUGGUGGGGUGACUGCGUACCUUUUGUAUAAUGGGUCAGCGACUUAUAUUCUGUAGCAAGGUUAACCGAAUAGGGGAGCCGGAGGGAAACCGAGUCUUAAUUGGGCGUUAAGUUGCAGGGUAUAGACCCGAAACCCGGUGAUCUAGCCAUGGGCAGGUUGAAGGUUGGGUAACACUAACUGGAGGACCGAACCGACUAAUGUUGAAAAAUUAGCGGAUGACCUGUGGCUGGGGGUGAAAGGCCAAUCAAACCGGGAGAUAGCUGGUUCUCCCCGAAAGCUAUUUAGGUAGCGCCUCGUGAAUUCAUCUCCGGGGGUAGAGCACUGUUUCGGCUAGGGGGUCAUCCCGACUUACCAACCCGAUGCAAACUGCGAAUACCGGAGAAUGUUAUCACGGGAGACACACGGCGGGUGCUAACGUCCGUCGUGAAGAGGGAAACAACCCAGACCGCCAGCUAAGGUCCCAAAGUCAUGGUUAAGUGGGAAACGAUGUGGGAAGGCCCAGACAGCCAGGAUGUUGGCUUAGAAGCAGCCAUCAUUUAAAGAAAGCGUAAUAGCUCACUGGUCGAGUCGGCCUGCGCGGAAGAUGUAACGGGGCUAAACCAUGCACCGAAGCUGCGGCAGCGACACUGUGUGUUGUUGGGUAGGGGAGCGUUCUGUAAGCCGUUGAAGGUGUGUCGUGAGGCAUGCUGGAGGUAUCAGAAGUGCGAAUGCUGACAUAAGUAACGAUAAUGCGGGUGAAAAACCCGCACGCCGGAAGACCAAGGGUUCCUGUCCAACGUUAAUCGGGGCAGGGUGAGUCGACCCCUAAGGCGAGGCCGAAAGGCGUAGUCGAUGGGAAACGGGUUAAUAUUCCCGUACUUGGUGUUACUGCGAAGGGGGGACGGAGAAGGCUAUGUUGGCCGGGCGACGGUUGUCCCGGUUUAAGCGUGUAGGUGUGUGUUCCAGGUAAAUCCGGUUCACUUUAACACUGAGGCGUGAUGACGAGGCACUACGGUACU
rnacentral:rRNA from 1 species